rnacentral:lncRNA from 1 species
CUUCCCUUCUUACCAGACAAAUAUGAAGAGCAAGACCAAGAGAGAGACCAAGCUAUAUCUCUUUCACCUCAGAGGGAGAAAAGGAAAUAUUUUUUUUAUUUCCUCCCUACUACCAAUUGCAACCGAGAGAGUGAGGAGAGAGUUAGACAGUCGUGAGCUACAUUUUCAGCUUGUAACCUUAGAACCGUGAGCCAAAAGAAGGUACAAAGAGGGGACUGGUGCAGUUGGGAACUGAAACAGAAAACCAUACAUGCAGUCUGCAAUUUUACAAACUUUAGGAGAGAAGAAAGAGGUACGUGACUGCAAUGACCUUCAUCUCAUUUGGUAUAACUGACUUUCUAGGUUGCAUGUUGAUCUUUAGCAAAGAAAAUGAGUUUCAAGCUGAGGUAGAGUUCUGUCUUGAAGAAGCUACUGUCGGACAGAAAGGAAGAGAACUGAGAGUUGUUGUUGUAGCCAUAAAUAUAGUAAACCUUCUGUAAUAACCUCCUAAUCAUCUAAUACACUGAAUAUUAUCGUAGUAUGCUGGAAUUUAGCUAAGAAAAAUUAAGUGUGGUUGAAACAAGAACCUGUUUAGGGAGUGGUUACCUGCGGAAAUCCUUUCAGCUCCAUUCAAGAGAAAGAAACUGAAUGUGCAGAUUGUUAACCGAAAGUAUGGAGUGAUUUUCUGCUAAAAGCUCAAACUAUAUGUUAUUUCUUUGUCUUACCUGAGAACUUAAAGCCGAGUUGAUAACUUGAGUGAGAACUUUUCAAAGAUUAGUUGGAAUUUCUGCUUAGCUGACAGAGAAUGAGAAUAAGAAAAUUCUCCAGAUUUCCUCAUAGAUUUGUGGUUCCAAACACCCAGGUUGAGACUUGAUCCAUGGUAUAAUAUUCUGGUCUUAGCAUGCAUGUUAGAUUGAAUAUAUAAUGAAGUAGUUAAUGGAGAAAUCCUUGCUUAAAAUCUGAUUGUUGUCCGAAACUUUAUCCAUCAUGGCCGAAGGAGAGAAAUAAGUUCUCAUCAGUUUUUCUUUGAAAUUUAACCGUAAACUUCCAUGUGUGCUGGUUAAGGCCAUUCUGUAGCUUGAAAACUAUCUCUUGCAUGGUGAGCUAGAGUGAAACCGAAGAGAUUAGGGAGGAAAGAAACUGCAACCCAAAUCGCUAUGUUGCUGGAAAAGUUAAUGAUAACACAACUGUUGAUAAUAGAUUUAGUGUGCUACUUUGAUUGAAUAAAUUGUUGAACUUAGGUAUUAUUUUCACUGGUUUAUGUUGGACCAAAUGUAUAUUACGUAUAUAGUGUUUUAAGCAAGUGAAAAUGGAGUUUUGCUGAAAAUUGGAGGUAAUACUGCUGGAAAUUGUAAUGUGUUGCUGGCCGAACUAGUUGAGGCUUUUGGUGGGAUUAUUUUCUGGAAUUGUGUGUUAUUUGCUCUAGUUGGGUUGGACAGAUUAUGAGCUACAUGCUUAGUGUUUUAAAUAAGUAAACCGUGGAGUUUUAUUGAACAUUUUGAAUUGAUAUUGCUGGAAAUUUUACUUGAUGGUUGAAACAGUGAAGGGUUGAAUUUCCUUUGAAGUUUUGAGAAAUUCUAAGAUAGUUGUUGUAACUAUACAUAUACAUAUAUAUAUAUAUAUAUAUAUAUCAGUUUGUAGCAUCUUGACCUUGUUUUGGAUACUUUAAAGAACUUAAAAUUUGAAGAGCUAGUGAAGUGGAACAAAUAGGAAUAAAAUGCAAACUAGAAUCUGUUUUAGCCUAGAUGGAAGAAAUGAAACGUUCACUUGUCUUAAUCCUUGCAUAUUAGAUUGGAAAUGAGUUAAUCUAAGCUCAAGUGUUUUAUACAAUCUUAAAAAUUUGGUGUACAUGUACAUUAACCUUAUUUUAAAGCUACCAAACUUAAUGAUCUUGAAGAAAGACGCAAGGAAGAUCACUGGAUUUUAGUGACUUGUUUUAUAAGCGUAGGAACUUGGGUUUUAGUUACUUAAACCUUAAAUUGGUAUAAGAUACCAUGGCCGAUAGUUACCCUUUGCAUGUUAAGUUGGAAAUGAGGAAAUGUAGAGAUUGAGAAGGACAAUUUUGCAUUUGGAAUUGCCGAACUACUGGACUUGCAUAUGACUAAAAUUUCUUAAAAGAAAUUUUGCUCCUCUCUUACUGACUUAUAGAUGAACUAAACGAAGGUAAUUAAUGAAAUCUGGUUCUGUUUGGUUGGUCUAGUAGAUAGCCAGCUAGUGUUAUCGGAUAUUGGGAGUGCAAGCCAAUAUAUGAACAUUGGACUGAUAUAUUGUUUGAAACCCUAAUUAAUGGUUGUGAUCAUAAAUGGUAGAUUGUGGAUAAGAAUGAUAAGUAAUCACCUACAAAUUAUAUAUUCACCUUGAAAUUAUUAACUUGUCCCAGGAAAUAGCUGUGAACCAGGAAACAAACCCGAGGCUCGAGAGUAAAUUAUUUGGAUAAUUGGUGAGUGUUUCCGAAUUUAUGUGUUUAACUGUUUAUGUGUACUUAAGUGAGAUUAUGUGACAAAUGUGUGUAGUAUGAAAUAUUGCUAAGUGAGUGUAUCUCAAUUGUCCCUCACCUUCUAAGUUGAGGGUGUACUUUAUCGCACUCAGCUUAGUUGAGCUUGAAGGUUGAUAAUUGACCAGGUGAUAUUGUAAGUAUUCAGGCAGUUUUUGUGUAUAACUUGCUUAUGUGCUUUGAUGUGAAUGAGAGGGUACUUAGGCGAGGAUGUACUUGAUCACACUCGACCUAAACCCUAAUUUUCACCUGUGUUUAUCUAUGAGAUGCAUAUACAUGAAUUAUUUUGAUGUUGAACCCCUUGAGCUUGUAAUUCUGGGUGACAUUUGUGGGGUCCAAUCUUAAGACCUAGACGGACUAUUCGAGCCGGCCGGGGCUUGGUCAAAGCCAGUCCAACCUAGUCUUGAGGUCACCAAGUUUGUGAACCAAGUUUGUGAAUCAAAUUUGUGAACCGAACUUGUGAAUCAAGCUCAAUUUCGUUUGCUCGAGCCAUUUUGUGAGGUGACUGGCCAGUGAGGGUGAUAAGGUGUUAGGUGGGAGUACAAGUGAAGUUCUACGGACCAUUAUUUGUGGUCGACGGAGUGUCGACAGGAGGUCACACGUGGCAUAUGAUUUGGCUUUGGAGCCAACCUGUAUCCUUUAAUUGUGUUGUUACUUUUGUACUUUUAAUUUGACAUCUUUGUGAAAUAAUUGUUCAAUGAAGUGUUUCCUCAAUUGCUAAUGAAAGUGAUUGUACAGUGAAAUGUGCCCUACUUGCUUAAUUGUAUUGAUUCAUAUGAUUAUUAAAUGUUACUUGCAUGGAAACCUCACGGGUGUAAGCUCACCCUUUUAGUUUUGUUUUUCUUACAGGAGUCAGAGAUUGAAGAGUGAUUAGAUUGGACUAGAAAGUUAUUCUGCGAAGAUCCAUCACUAUGUGUAUAUAUUGGAGUCACGUUUUCUUUUGUAUUUUAAGAUGGUUGAAUCUUCUAUUUUGAGUUGAUGCAAUAUUAAGAAUGGAUGUUUAGAAUGUGUAUUUUGUUUCUUUUAUUGAACAAAUUCAUGUUUCAAACUGAUUGGAGAUGUACUUAAGAGUGAAUGUUAAGUCGUCCAAUGGUAAUGUUAUCUUUGAAGUUAAUGUGAGUGAGUGAGUGCUGGUGAGAGCUAGGCAGGCGAUCCGCUAACUUCUAGGGUAUGCCCUAGGAGAAUGUGAGGUCGUCACAUGAUUAUGGACCAAAAUGUAGAAAACUUUAUAAGGAUUAGUGUGACGGCUCCACUUCUCCCUAAGGCGAACCAGAGGGUUGGCGGGUCGCCUGCCCAGCUCUCGCCAGGACUCACACAAGCAAACCGACCAAUUAUCCACGUAUAACUUAAACCAAAACACAAUUCGCCAUCCGAACAUGCCAACCUUUAAGCGGCUUGAAUACUAAAACACAUUAACUUCAGAAAUAACCUUACCAUAGAACAUCCACCCGUUCACUCCUAAAUACAUCUCUGACCAGAUCACCACAUAAUCUCAAAUAUACAAUACAAACCACACAGUAAGUUCAUAAAGCUCAGAUAAAAUUCAUACAAGCCAAAUCUUAGGGUUUGCACUUUUCCAGCUUCAAGUGGCAACCCAAAACGAAGAUACAAGUACGAUUCGAAAUAAAAUUUACAAAACGAUAAGAUAAACUUCAAGUCUCUCGAUUUCCGGAACCUGUUAAGGAAAACAAAUAUCGUGUGAUGAGCUAAAGCUCAGUGAGGUUCCGAACACAUAGGCAACAAGAAAAUCAAUGCAUUCAUUACAUAUAACCAAUAAUUCAAGAGACAAGUACAAAUAAAGCAAUAAACACGUUCAUGAAAAGGAUACGGGCUCACAGGGAGCCAUAUGUUCGUUCGUUCGUUCGUUCGUUCUCCUGCCAUUUCCCCUUAUUCCUCCAAUCAUUUGCAAAAUGCAUUUUGUAUAAGUAAAACCCCUCAUUCAUUCAUUCGUUUAUUCCUUUCAUUCACCCCGUCCCUGGCUUUUGGUCAGGCUCCACCAACCUACAGGGUAAUACUCGAGUAUACCGAAACGUUCACCCAAGUCCCUAAUCGCUCGACCGAGUCCGACUGGCUCGAGACGACCGGUAACAAGGGGCAAUGGCCAGUUCAGCCCAAAAGGGCUUACAUUCAUGCACAAGUAACAUUUCAAUCGCUCAAUCAUUAAAUUUUCACAGUCAUUUAGGCUAAGUGCGAUAAAGUACACACUCGCCUUGAAAACUCGUUUUGACAAUCAUUGAAAGCAUUUAACACAUUAUCAAGUAAUAAGAUC